AAGAAAGGCUGAGAUCAGUCUGAGCUUGGAUCUAUGUUGUCCCAGAACUUGGGAGGCUGAGGCACGAGGAGCAUGAUUUCUGGACUAGGCUAAGCCACAUAGUAGCAAGACCACCUUUAAAAAAAACGUGUGUGUCUACACACACAUAUACCUGGCAGAAGAUAAAAGUGAGGAAAAAGUCCAGACAGUAGUAUGCACGCUUACUGCCUUUAGACAUCCUGCAGACACAGGGCAGAGCCUAGACUUUAGGCUUUCAUGGUCUCUAGAAUAUUAUGAGCAAAGCACAAUGAUCAGUUGUUCUCAUACUUGAGUGCAUCUGGAGAUAGUUCAUAGUUAUGGCAGUCAAUAUUUCUUACUGAAAAGCUUUCCUUUUGUGGCAACAUUUUUAUAGGUUGUGUGAAUUCCUUUUUUUUAAUGACAUAAUACAGUAUUUUUGCACAGUUGUAACCAUGUGUGAUGGUGUCACUAUAACCAAAGUACAUGCACCAGCCCUUGUGCAUUUAUUGUUCCCUCUGGUAUUGUGCACUUAAAAUGUCCAAAUACAAACCUUUGUGACUGUGAAGAAUCUGGCAGCACAGCAUGCCCGUGACCUGCCUGCUGCAGUGUGAGCUGUGUGGCCAUAAGCAGGCCCUGUAAAGUCCUAAGUUGCUCUCAGGCAAGUGGGUACAUUAUAAAAACAAAUCGUGUAACAAUAAAUCUACCUAAGCUAAAAGAACGUUUGUUUUAUGUGAACCUGUACAGUAAAUAAAGUGGAAGUUAUCAGUAAC
rnacentral:lncRNA from 1 species